UCCCUGGUGGUCCAAUGGUUAGCACUUGGCACUUUCACUGCCAUGGUGUGGGUUUACUCCCUGGUCAGGGAA
rnacentral:tRNA from 1 species